rnacentral:rRNA from 1 species
CGACCCCAGGUCAGGCGGGGUUA